AUUGAACGCUGGCGGCAUGCCUUACACAUGCAAGUCGAACGGCAGCGGGCCUUCGGGUGCCGGCGAGUGGCGAACGGUGAGUAAUGCAUCGGAACGUGCCAUUGAGUGGGGGAUAACGUAGCGAAAGUUGCGCUAAUACCGCAUAUUCUGUGAGCAGGAAAGCAGGGGACCGCAAGGCCUUGCGCUCUUUGAGCGGCCGAUGUCAGAUUAGCUAGUUGGUGAGGUAAAGGCUUACCAAGGCGACGAUCUGUAGCGGGUCUGAGAGGAUGAUCCGCCACACUGGAACUGAGACACGGUCCAGACUCCUACGGGAGGCAGCAGUGGGAAUUUGGACAAUGGGGCAACCCUGAUCCAGCCAUGCCGCGUGAGUGAAGAAGGCCUUCGGGUUGUAA
rnacentral:rRNA from 1 species